rnacentral:misc_RNA from 1 species
UCCCCGUUGCCAGGGCAGUCUGAUUAGAAAAAUACAACUAAUCACAAGGGUUGCGCUCGUUGAUGGACUUAACCAAACAUCUCACGACACGAGCUGACGACGGCCAUGCAUCAUCUGUCACCGAGUUCCCCGUACUUACCUGAAUAUCCUCUAUAGCUUCUACUACAGUAUUCAAAUAACUACGGGGCACUCAAUCCUUUCGGAUUAAUUCUCGGGAUGUCAAACCCUGGUAAGGUUCUUCGUUUAUCAUCGAAUUAAAGAACACGUUCCACCGCUUGUGCGGGUCCCCGUCAAUUCCUUUAUGUUUUAGUCUUGCGACCGUACUCCACAGGCGGGAUACUUAACGCGUUAGCUUCGCUACUGAAGGGGUCGAUACCUCCAACAGCUAGUAUCCAUAGUU